ACCUAAAAUUUAAAAAUACAAGGUCAUGCAUUUAGGGACUAACAACAAGAAUUUCUGCUAUAAGCUGGGGACGUAUCAGUUCGACGUGACAGAAGAAAAAGACCUGGCUGUAUUGGUUGUUCACAGGAUGACUAUGUGAUGCGGGUGUGGAAAAGGCUAAUGCAAACCUAGGAUGCAUCAGGCGAUGUAUUUCCAGUAGAGACAGUGAAGUGUUAGUACCGUUAUACAAGGCACU